rnacentral:lncRNA from 1 species
AUGGCACCGAAAGCAAAGAAGGAAGCUCCUGCCCUCCUAAAGCCGAAGCCAAAGCGAAGGCUUUAAAGGCCAAGAAGGCAGUGUUGAAAGGUGUCCACAGCCACAAAAAAAAUGAUCCACACGUCACCCACCUUCCAGUGGCCCAAGACACUGCGACUCUGGAGGCAGCCCAAAUAUCCUUGGAAGAGUGCCCCCAGAAGAAACAAGCUUGACCACUAUGCUAUCAUCAAGUUUCCGCUGACCACUGAGUCGGCCAUGAAGAAGAUAGGAGACAGCAACACACUUGUGUUCAUAGUGGAUGUUAAAGCCAACAAGCACCAGAUCAAACAGGCUGUGAAGAAGCUCUAUGAUAUUGACAUGGCCAAGGUCAACACCCUGAUUCGGCCUGAUGGAGAGAAGAAGGCAUAUGUUCCACUGGCUCCUGAUUAUGAUGCUUUGGAUGUUGCCAACAAAAUUGGGAUCAUCUAA